AGCGAAAAAAAAAAAAAAAAAAAAAAAAAAAAAAAAAAAAAAAAU
rnacentral:ribozyme from 1 species